rnacentral:rRNA from 1 species
AUUGAACGCUGGCGGCAGGCUUAACACAUGCAAGUCGAACGGUAACGACAUGAAUAAUCCUUCGGGUGCGUUCAUGGGCGACGAGUGGCGGACGGGUGAGUAACGCGUAGGAAUCUACCCAACUGUGGGGGACAACCCGGAGAAAUCCGGGCUAAUACCGCAUACGCCCUACGGGGGAAAGCGGGGGAUCUUCGGACCUCGCGCAGCUGGAUGAGCCUGCGUCCGAUUAGCUUGUUGGUAAGGUAACGGCUUACCAAGGCGACGAUCGGUAGCUGGUCUGAGAGGAUGAUCAGCCACACUGGGACUGAGACACGGCCCAGACUCCUACGGGAGGCAGCAGUGGGGAAUAUUGGACAAUGGGGGCAACCCUGAUCCAGCCAUGCCGCGUGUGUGAAGAAGGCCUUCGGGUUGUAAAGCACUUUUAGUGGGGAAGAAAAAUUCGAGGUUAAUACCCUCGGGUCUUGACGGUACCCACAGAAAAAGCACCGGCUAAUUCCGUG